CGUGGACCAGAACCAAGGUCAGCCUAGAGCAGCAUCCAUCCUAUUUCGCUCCACAGCCAAUGACAUGCCUCUGGACGUCCACAAGCAGGCAUCGUUUCCAGUGACAUUUUGGCUGCCCUCCUCUGGACACGUUCCAGCUUGUCAGUAUCCUUCUUGAACUGUGGUGCCCAGAACUGGACACAGUACUCCAGAAAGAAACGCAAAGCUGGAUAAAAUAACAAAAUAGUCCUACGAUAAAACCAGCUCCACAAAAUGCAUUAAACAGCCACAGAGAAGAAGAGACAGGCCAGAGGUUGCCCUAGGAGGCCAAAGAAACACGAGGGAAUAACUGCCGUUCAAACAGAAGCACCAGCAAUGGAUGAUCAGCUCAGCCUGUCUUUAUAUUUUGCUGCUUUCAACAACAUCCCUCACC